rnacentral:rRNA from 1 species
UACGGAGGGUGCAAGCGUUAUCCGGAUUCACUGGGUUUAAAGGGUGCGUAGGCGGGUUGGUAAGUCCGUGGUGAAAUCCCCAAGCUUAACUUGGGAACUGCCGUGGAUACUAUCAAUCUUGGAUAUCGUGGAGGUAAGCGGAAUAUGUCAUGUAGCGGUGAAAUGCUUAGAUAUGACAUAGAACACCAAUUGCGAAGGCAGCUCACUACACAAUCAUUGACUCUGAGGCACGAAAGCGUGGGGAUCAAACAGG